rnacentral:lncRNA from 1 species
UUAAAAACAAGGUUGAGUACAAGUUUUAGCAGAUAUGAAAGCUUGACUUUGGGAAUUACAUCAUAGUCAACUUAUCAUUAGUUAAGUAAUAAUCAAGUUAAACUUUUUUAAAACAAGUUGAAAACAAGUUUUAGCAGAUUCUAAUAGCUUGACUUUGGGAAUUACAUCAUAGUCAAAAGAAGAAAUACAGUUGGUCAUUUAUGCAUCUGUAAGUUACAAUAUGACCGGUCUGCAAUUGCCUCUAAGAACAUCAUUUAUUUCAUGCUAAGGAGCGCAUUACUCAAAUAGUCAUAUAACUAUCCGAAAUUACCUACUAAAGUCAUCUUUCUUUCAUUUAUAACAGAAAGUCACUUUACCACUAGUAAGGUCACUCAACUAAAUUUCUCAAACUUUUGAUUACCAAAUACCUAUUUUACCCUCUAAAUUACUUGUCUUCUUUUUAUUUUUUUAACUUUUUAAUAUUAUAAAAUACCUAUUUUGUUUUCUUGAGCCGAGGGUCUUUCGGAAACAACCUCUCUACUUCUUCGGGGUAGGGGUAAGGUCUGCGUACACACUACCCUCCCCAGAUCCCACUAGUGGGAUUUUACUUAGUUGUUGUUGUUAAUAUAUUAUGAACUUACCUAGAAUAAAAAUAGGUAAAGUUAAGUGACUUUUCAAUUACAAACGAAAGAAAGAUGACGACUUUACUUGAUAAUUUCAGAUAGUUGAGCGACCGUUUAAGUAAUGGACUCCGUGCUAAGCUGUGUAGCUUGCUAGCCUCCUCUACAUAUUCUCAAGUGUUCAGGGACAAAAACACCACCAAAUUUGUUAUGAUUUUGCAUUCGCAUAUGGAUUCAGCAUUGUUCUCCUCCUAUCACUCAGUAACUAGUAAAUUUUCCCUUCUAUUCUUCAUUACAAGUUUUCUGUGUAUUUCUGUGGCAUUGUGUCAUGGCAAUGACACAGACCAACAAGCACUACUUGCAUUCAGGAGAGCAAUAAAGGAUCCUUUUGGAUAUAUGAAACCAUGGAAUGUAUCCACACACUUUUGCCAGUGGCCUGGUGUCACUUGUGGACGUAAACACAUGAGAGUCCUUCAACUAAACCUCGCGAACCAAAAUCUAGAUGGUCCCUUGUCACCCUUUAUUGGCAACAUGAGUUUUCUCAGGUCUCUAUACCUGUCAAACAAUAGCUUCCGUGGUGAAAUCCCCUCGGAGAUAGGUCGUUUGAGAAGGCUACAACGAUUGAAUCUUGGUAACAAUUCAUUUCAUGGUGAUAUUCCCUCAAAUUUAUCAAGGUGCUCAAAUCUUGUAUCUCUUCUCCUUGGAGGUAACAAGUUAGUCGGAAGUCUUCCUCCGGAGCUAGGCUCAUUGUCCAAACUCGAAUACUUGUUACUCACUCGAAACAACUUGACAGGUGAAAUCCCUUAUUCUUUUGGAAACCUAACUUCAUUGAGAGGAUUCUAUGCACCAUUGAAUAAUCUUCAUGGGAAAAUCCCUGACUCACUCGGGCAGCUGAAGAACUUAAACAGUUUAGGAUUAGCUGCAAAUAAUUUGAUUGGUACUAUUCCUUAUGCAAUCUUCAACAUCUCUUCCAUGACAACAUUUGAUGUUGGAAUAAACCAAAUUCAAGGUACUCUUCCUUCAAGUUUGGGAAUCACCCUCCCCAAUCUUGAACUAUUUAUAAUUGGUGGGAACAACAUUUCUGGAUCAAUACCAUCUUCAUUGUCCAAUUCAUCAAAGUUAGUGUAUUUUCUUGCGGGAGGUAAUCAACUUACAGGAAGUGUACCAAGUCUUGAAAACCUGAAUGAACUUCAACAGUUAACCAUUCCAGGGAAUUAUCUUGGAACUGGAGAACCAGAUGAUUUAAGUUUCAUGUCCUCUCUGACGAACGCAUCUAGUUUCAGAAUUUUGGAGAUGCAGUUCAAUAGUUUUGGAGGAAUUUUUCCUGUAUCCUUCCAAAAUCUCUCAACUGAGCUUCAGGUUGUGCAAUUGUCAUACAACAAAAUACGUGGUAACAUACCGGCUGAGAUUGGAAAUUUCAUCAACUUGGAAGAAUUUCAGGUGAGGGAAAACUUACUCACUGGUACUAUUCCUACCAGUUUUGGGAAGGUUAAGAUAAUGCAGAUUUUGGAUUUGUCUCAGAAUAGAUUUUCUGGGAAUAUUCCAUCAUCUCUAGGAAAUCUGAGUGCAGUAACCAUCCUUCUUUUUCACGAUAAUGAUCUUACGGGUGAGAUACCAGCAAGUUUAGGAAAUUGCAAUAAUUUGAUUGAAAUAUAUGUUGCUCAAAAUAACCUGUUAGGACAAAUACCUAAGGAACUUUUUGCUCUCUCUUCCUUAGUUGCUGUAGAUAUUUCUGAGAACCAUCUAGAUGGUUUCAUUCCUCUCGAAGCUGGACACAUGAGAAAUCUCGAAUAUCUCAAUGUUUCCGAGAACAAUUUGACUGGCAAAAUCCCAAGUACCAUUGGUAGCUGUGUGAGACUUGAAGUCUUAGACAUGAAAGGAAACUCUUUUCAAGGAAUUAUUCCACCUUCUUUCAGUUCUUUGAGAGGUCUGCAUGUUUUAGACCUUUCUAGGAAUAACUUGUCUGGUCAAGUACCAAAUUACUUGGAAGAUUUUAAGUUUCAACUCCUGAAUUUGUCGUUCAAUGGUUUCGAAGGAAUGUUACCAAAUGAUGGCAUCUUUAAGAAUGCAAGUGCAAUAUCAGUAAUUGGAAAUCCAAAACUUUGUGGGGGUGUGCCUCACAUACAUCUUCCAGAGUGUGACAUCAAAAGAUCAAAAAAAUUUGGUUCGAGGUUUAUCCUCAAGAUUGUAAUGUCUAUUGUCUUUGGUAUACUAGGACUUGCCAUUCUAGUCACUUUACUAUUUUUUUUCUUGUUCAAGAAACCAAAAAAGGGGCCUGUUUUGAGCUCAUUUGGCGAAUCACUCAUAAAUGUAUCUUACCAAAGUUUGCUUCAAGCUACUAAUGGAUUCUCUGAAGACAACUUGAUUGGUGCUGGUAGCUAUGGAUCUGUGUAUAAAGGAACUCUUGAUGGAGGAAUAGUCGUCGCAGUGAAAGUAUUAAACCUCUCGCGACAUGGAGCUUCCAAAAGCUUUAUGGCUGAAUGUGAAGUCUUGAGAAACAUAAGACAUCGGAAUUUGGUGAAGGUUCUCACAGCUUGUUCAGGAAUCGACUAUCAAGGGAAUGAAUUCAAGGCAUUGGUUUACGAGUUUAUGGCUAAUGGCAGCCUCGAAGACUGGUUGCAUCCGAGUCCAAGUGAAGAUGCAAAUCGGGAAGAAUCGAAAAGGUUGAAUAUUCUUCAAAGGCUCAACAUUGCUAUUGAUGUUGCUUCUGCAAUCGAUUAUCUUCAUCACCACUGUGAGACUCCGAUAAUUCACUGUGAUCUCAAGCCAAGCAACAUUCUUCUAGACGAUAGAUUGAUUGGUCAUAUUGGUGAUUUUGGUUUGGCAAAGUUCCUUCAACCAACUGCACAAAAUUCUUCUGUUUCAGAAGGAAGCUCUAGUCUUGUUAGAGGAACUAUUGGUUACACUGCCCCAGGUAACUGUUUCUCUCAUUCAUUUUUUUUUUUCUCUACAAUAAGAAACUUAUCGCGAACUGUUUACUUUUAUAAAAUCAAAUCCUACUAAGUUAUGUUCCUAUUAAGAAACUAAAGUUCCUUAUUUUGUUUUGUGAAUUGUAGAAUAUGGGAUGGGCAGCGAGCUAUCGACUUGUGGUGAUGUGUACAGCUUCGGAAUCCUCUUGCUUGAAAUGUUCAUAGGAAAAAGGCCUACAGAUGGAAUGUUUAGGGAUGGUUUAGACCUGCCCAGUUUUGCUAAGUAUGCUUUGCUUAAUGGAGCUACAAAAGUCAUAGAACCAUCCCUUAUCUUUGGAAGUAAUGAAGACAAUGGAGGUGAAAACACAAGAAUGUACCAGAGUGAGGAGUGUCUGGUUUCUAUACUUCAAGUUGGGGUUGCUUGUUCUGCAUAUUCUGGAGCUGAAAGAAUGAACAUCACUGAAACUGUUUCCAAAUUGUACUCUAUCAGAGAUGCUGUCAUGUGACCAGGAGGUCACGGGUUCGAGCCGUGGAAACAGCCUCUUGCAGAAAUGCAGGAUAAGGCUGCGUACAAUAGACCCUAGUGGUCCAGCCCUUCCCCGGACACCGUGCAUAGCAGGAGCUUAGUGCACCGGGCUGCCCCUACUCUAUCAGAGAUGCUCUUCUGAAAUCAGAAAAAAAUUCAGGAGCAUGCUGAAAACAUCUUCUUUUCUUUUCUAGUUAUAAGUUAACUGUGUCUUUGUUGUUUUUACCAAUGAGUAUAAUAAGUUUCUUCGUCGGUACUUAGGCUAUUCAUCACCUGAUUACAUGAUGUUAGAACUAAAGAAUAUCUUGUAAUAAGUAUAAGCAGAAUCAAAAUCAGAUUGUAUAAAGACAAGAAGGAAACUUUUAUUGAAGCUGAGACUUCACAAGGUGGAAAAUUGUUUUGGUUCUCAUUACAAUUUUCAAAAAGGAAUAAUAAUCUACAAGCAGUGGAAAAAAUUUAAGCAACUAUUUAGCAGUACUGUUAUUUCAUAUUUCAUUUCCACUGGUUUGCAACAAUGUCAGCAAGAUCAACCACCCUCUGUGAGUAACCCCAUUCAUUGUCAUACCAAGCAAUAACCUUAACCAUGUCAUCUCCCAUGACCAUAGUAAGUGAAGCAUCAACAGUUGAUGACACAUCACUGCACCGGAAGUCGACUGACACGAGUGGUUCAUCGCAGACAUCGAGAAUGCCUUUGAGCUCCUUGUCAGCAGCCUCCCUAAAUGCAGCAUUCACUUCCUCAGCAAAUGUCUUCUUGGAGACUUGGACGACAAGGUCAACGACCGAGACGUUAGGGGUUGGCACACGGAGGGCAAUGCCAUUGAGCUUCCCCUUAAGGCUUGGGAGGACAAGGGCCACGGCCUUAGCAGCACCAGUUGAGGUUGGAACGAUGUUGAGGGCUGCAGCUCGUGCACGUCUAAGGUCCCUGUGGCUCGCAUCAAGAAGCCUUUGGUCACCGGUGUAAGAGUGAGUAGUUGUCAUGGUUCCCUUGAUAAUGCCUAGGAAAAAUAUUUUGUUUAUGAGUUUAAGUUAUAUGCACUGACAGUAAAGAACAGUUAUGCUCGUGUAUAACUAGAUAAAGAUGUAUUACCGAAUUUUUGGUCAAGAACCUUGACAAAAGGAGCAAGGCAGUUGGUGGUGCAAGAGGCAUUGCUGAUGAUAGGUUCAUCAGGGUUGUAGAGAUCAGCAUUGACACCAACAACAUAUGUGGGGAUGUCACCUUUUCCGGGAGCGGUGAUGAGCACCUUCUUGGCUCCAGCCUGAAUGUGUUUUCCGGCGCCUUCUCUGUCGACAAACACUCCGGUACCUUCUAUCACCAAGUCAAUCCCAAGAUCUCUGAACAAAUUACACAAACAUUUUGAACAAUAGUAGUUGUUAGAGGUUGAAGGGGAACCUUGGCGUAACUGGUAAAGUUUCUGGCAUGUGACCAGGAGGUCACGGCCAGUUCAAGCCGUGGAAAUAGCCUCUUGCAAAAAUGCGGGGUAAGGCUGCGUAUAGACCCUUGUGGUCCAGCCUUUCCCUGGCCCCGCGCAUAACGGGAACUUAGUGCACCGGGCUGCCCUUUAGUAGCUGUUAGAGGUUGACUAGAUAUCACAAGCUAGUAUUAUACUAGACAGUACAUGAGCUAACUUAAGCAUGUUAUCAUGAUUCAUUACUAGCUACUCACUGUUGGACAUUGUUAAAACUUAUAACUACUGUUUCAUAUUUUUGUUUUUUGUUCUCAGCAUAAUGACAAUCACUUGCAAUGCUCGUCCAAGUUGUGCUUGGACCACAGAUAUUGCACUAAUCACACUAAGAACAAAUGGAUUGCUAUUUUGUGAUAAUUCAAAUUUUUGUACGCUGAAAGUAUAAUGAAUUUUUUACACUAUCCAUACUUAAAAACCAAUUAUAGAUGACAACAAAUAGUAAGGUAAAUUUUUUUAACUCGAGAAAAGAGGAUAACUAACUUACUAUAGCCGGUUAAGUUACGGUUAAGAUAUAAAUUUCCUUACACUAUACAUGAAUGUCUACAACUUAAAUCCUUUCGUUAUAUGUUAGCAUGAAAGAACUUACCCCCAGGGGAGGUUGACGGGGUUGCGAUCGGAGACGACUUGGAUGACUUUUCCGUCGACGGAGAUGCCGUCAGUGCCGACGGGCUUGACAUCAGCAUCAAAGAUGCCAAGGGUGGAGUCAUAUUUAAGAAGGUGAGAGGCUUGCUUGACACCACCAGUGUCAUUGAUGGCAAUGACAUCAAGGGGAGAGUCUUUCCUACCAUGCCAACACCUCAAGAAAUUCCUCCCAAUUCUUCCAAAUCCAUUGAUUGCCACUUUCAACUUGGCCUCCACUACUCCCCUCUUGCUGUUCCCUCCUCCAAUCUACAUUUUAUAAAUCCAAUUUCAUGUAAUUAUCACAAGAAAUCUUGUUAUACAACAACAAAUCUAGUGUAUUUUCACAAGUGGGGUUUGGGGAGGGUAGUGUUUACGCAUACUUUACCCCUGCCUUUAAAAGGCAGAGAGGUUGUUUCCGGAAGACCCACGGCUCAUGAAAAAUAAAACGAGGGGGCAAUGACAAGCCAAUAUAUUGUUAUACAAUGACCAAAAUUGUGGAAGUAUAAUUUAGAUGUUAUACAAUGUUAUCAUUAAUUUAUGUGGUUCAAAUUCUUUUUAAGAGUAGUGUUGAUCUUCCUUCAAACUUAUGCAAUUACCAAUUUGCAUCAAGAUCCAGUGAGGAGCUAUUUUUCUUGUUCUAUUUCUAACUCUCUUUGCUAGCAUUAGAGCACAAGAAUUGCACUUACUUUUAGAAGACUAACAGUUAGAGGCUUAAAGUCUCUGACUUUUUCCUUUUAACCAAACACAUCAAAUCUUCCUAUACUAAAAACGACAUAAAGUAUACUCGAUGAAAAAGUGAAUCAACAUCCAACAUAAAAAAGGAAGCAUAGACUACAACAAGAACACAGCGGGAGUCUUGAUCACAAUAGACAUGAAGGAUUUAAGUAAUAUACGAACUGCCUCUUGCAAAAAAUGCAGGGUAAGACUGCGUACGAUAGACCCUUGUGGUCCGGCCCUUUCCCCGACCCCAUGCAUAGCGGGAGCUUAGUGCACCGGGCUGUCCUUUUACACUGUGUUACCCUAUCAGUAUAGUUUAACCCGUGAUAGCAGAUUAGUUACCGUACUUGUCAAGUUACCAGUUAAUGCUUGAACAAGUUACUAGACUCAAACUCAAUCAUUCAAAGAUAAAAAUACAAUAAUAGUACUCACAACAGAGGUUUGAAAGGCAACAACAGAGAGCAAGUCAUCGUUAGUUUUCCUUCCGAAUGGAAUAGCUGAUGAGGUGCGCAGCCCUGAGAAUUCAGAGAAUCCUUUGUUGCUGACCUGCAUUCCCAUCAAUACAACAAACAAGAAUUCAACAAAUUAAAGUGUUCAUCCAUCAAGUUAAUGACAAGAAAAAAGGACAACAUUAAUUAUAGAGUGAGUGAAAGAAGGACCUGAAGAGAAGAGUUGGCUACUGAGAGAGCAGCCGAAGCCAUUGUUCUUUUUAGAAAUGCAGCAGAAGAAUGUGGUAUUUGGUGUGAAAGUUAAAGAAAUAUGGAAGGUAUAAGGGGAUGAGUAGGACAAAAUGGAUGGAGGGAAGAAAAUGGAUGAGAUUAUGGAUGAUAACUAGAUAGAUAGCCUCUCACUCAUUGUAUGGCUGUGGUUGCCUACUUGCAUGUUCUUUUCCUUACGUGCUACACCUUUUGUUUUUUCAAGUUUCCAGAAUCUAUUGGUCCGACUAAUCUAGAUGUGUAUAUUUUUCUCACUUUUUUAGUAAAUGAGUUUAACUUCUUGAGCCGAGGUCUAUUAGAAAUAACUUCUCUAUAUUUUCAAAGUAGUGAUAAGGUACGCAUUAUCCUCCCCAGAUCUCACUUGUAAGAUUACAAUGUAUUUGUUGUUGUUGUAAUGAGUUUAGCUUCUAAACACCAAAAGUGUAAACAACUUUACACAAUCACUUAAAAGAUGCAGUUAGUAACUGCCUAUAACAAGUGAAAUUAGUAACAUGAAAAAUAAGGCAAAUAACCUACUAGGACAAGGCAAAUUAUAUUGAUAGUGUCAAAGUUCUUGUCACUGUACAUAAAUUAAAACCUUAAUUUAUUCAAGGUAGUCUCUAUUUUUAGAAAUUAGUAUUAUUAUACUUCUGGUUUAUAUUAGCUAAUAUGCUAAAUCAUGUGAAGAGACCUUUUAAUUCGGUUUUGAAUGUCUAUGAGAACAAAUUUUAGAGUGACGUCGAACAUUAAGAACUCUGACUUUCUAAAAUAAAACUUGGAGAUUUGAGAAACAAUGUCAAAAAAUUCAAGAUUUUAUUUUUAUUUUUUUUCGAAAUAUUAAUUAUACAUAAAGAAAUUUUGAUAUGUCGUAUGAAAUCUAAUUUCAGAAAUAUUAUAAUUUCCCUUCACACCAAACAUACCCCUAAUCUUUUUUCUAUAAGUUUAAUUUGUGCGUUAUUAAAUGGUAAUUCACAUUUAUAGUUUUAUGUGAUCAAUAAAAAUUCUUUUUCUUUUGUUGCCAAAGAGUUAUUUUUUGUUAUUUUACGUGCAAUUUCUUUUCUUAUUUUUCUUCUGUUAAAUUUAAAGGUCCAUAUAAAUUGGUCAGGUCACAGUUAUUGCUAUCCAUAAGAAAUUGCCACCUUGUCACUGAGACUCCCUGCCAUUGGACAGCCAAUGACUAGAUAUCCUUUGUCCAUAUCUGUUUUAUUGGUUUUCCGUAUGGUGUCUGGUGCACGCGUUGGAGCCAGAUUAUAUUCGAAUUCGGACCGCAUAAGACCCCAUUCAUAAUACCGAAAAAAUUUUCAUACGCACGGUUCGAACCCGAGACCUCUGAUUAAGGGAAUAAUAGCCUCAUUCGUUGCACACUUCCUUUGGUGGUUUUGUCCAUAUCUAUCUUAAUUACCUCAUCAAAAGAAUGUAUUUCUUCACCUUUGGUCCCAAUGAUAUUUUUUAAGGACUUCAAAAGGAACAAUGUUAAAAAAUUGAAAGAAACAUCAAUCCUAUUGCACAAAUUGAGAGUGAAAUUUGUGGCUUCAAAAAGUUUUCUUUUAUGUGAUAUCUACCCAUAUCCUUUGGAUUUAAAAUAAUGUUACUACCAUUUUUUCAAUAAUUUGUUAAAUCUUUUUCUACUGCAGACGAUGGGACAAAUUAAAUUAUUCUUUCCUCUCUUUUCUCCACCUUGCUUCCGGAGUUUACUCGGAAAUCUUAAUUCUAUGGUAAAAAAUGUUGUAUAAAUAAUUAACAAUACAAAAAAUAAUGUGUAAUUGUCACACCUCCUUUUUCCGCGCCCGCGGGGGCGCAGGGGAGUUUUUUCCAAUUAAAGGACAAUCGAAACGGGAUUGGUUUAUUUAUUUCAGAGUCGCCACUUGGGAGAUUUAGGGUGUCCCAAGUCACCAAUUUUAAUCCCGAAUCGAGGAGAAGAAUGACUUUAUAUUACAGUCUGCGUACCAGAAAUCCGGAUAAGGAAUUCUGUUAACCCGGGAGAAGGUGUUAGGCAUUCCCGAGUUCCGUGGUUCUAGCACGGUCGCUCAACUGUUAUAUUUGGCUUAUUUAUCUGAUUUUAAAUACAAUAUGAACUUAUGUGCAAAUUUUAUCUUUCAACCGCUUUUAUCAUUUACGGUUAUUUUUAUCAAGAAUUGCAACGUUAUAAAAAUGUAUCUCGAACCACGUUACAAUCAAUGUACCCGUGGUUGUCGACACACUUUGACUCCNNNNNNNNNNNNNNNNNNNNNNNNNNNNNNNNNNNNNNNNNNNNNNNNNNNNNNNNNNNNNNNNNNNNNNNNNNNNNNNNNNNNNNNNNNNNNNNNNNNNNNNNNNNNNNNNNNNNNNNNNNNNNNNNNNNNNNNNNNNNNNNNNNNNNNNNNNNNNNNNNNNNNNNNNNNNNNNNNNNNNNNNNNNNNNNNNNNNNNNNNNNNNNNNNNNNNNNNNNNNNNNNNNNNNNNNNNNNNNNNNNNNNNNNNNNNNNNNNNNNNNNNNNNNNNNNNNNNNNNNNNNNNNNNNNNNNNNNNNNNNNNNNNNNNNNNNNNNNNNNNNNNNNNNNNNNNNNNNNNNNNNNNNNNNNNNNNNNNNNNNNNNNNNNNNNNNNNNNNNNNNNNNNNNNNNNNNNNNNNNNNNNNNNNNNNNNNNNNNNNNNNNNNNNNNNNNNNNNNNNNNNNNNNNNNNNNNNNNNNNNNNNNNNNNNNNNNNNNNNNNNNNNNNNNNNNNNNNNNNNNNNNNNNNNNNNNNNNNNNNNNNNNNNNNNNNNNNNNNNNNNNNNNNNNNNNNNNNNNNNNNNNNNNNNNNNNNNNNNNNNNNNNNNNNNNNNNNNNNNNNNNNNNNNNNNNNNNNNNNNNNNNNNNNNNNNNNNNNNNNNNNNNNNNNNNNNNNNNNNNNNNNNNNNNNNNNNNNNNNNNNNNNNNNNNNNNNNNNNNNNNNNNNNNNNNNNNNNNNNNNNNNNNNNNNNNNNNNNNNNNNNNNNNNNNNNNNNNNNNNNNNNNNNNNNNNNNNNNNNNNNNNNNNNNNNNNNNNNNNNNNNNNNNNNNNNNNNNNNNNNNNNNNNNNNNNNNNNNNNNNNNNNNNNNNNNNNNNNNNNNNNNNNNNNNNNNNNNNNNNNNNNNNNNNNNNNNNNNNNNNNNNNNNNNNNNNNNNNNNNNNNNNNNNNNNNNNNNNNNNNNNNNNNNNNNNNNNNNNNNNNNNNNNNNNNNNNNNNNNNNNNNNNNNNNNNNNNNNNNNNNNNNNNNNNNNNNNNNNNNNNNNNNNNNNNNNNNNNNNNNNNNNNNNNNNNNNNNNNNNNNNNNNNNNNNNNNNNNNNNNNNNNNNNNNNNNNNNNNNNNNNNNNNNNNNNNNNNNNNNNNNNNNNNNNNNNNNNNNNNNNNNNNNNNNNNNNNNNNNNNNNNNNNNNNNNNNNNNNNNNNNNNNNNNNNNNNNNNNNNNNNNNNNNNNNNNNNNNNNNNNNNNNNNNNNNNNNNNNNNNNNNNNNNNNNNNNNNNNNNNNNNNNNNNNNNNNNNNAAAAUGGGGAAGCUGCUACGGUCGGGACUGUCCGGUGGUGGUUUCGGGGUGGAACGAGGGUGGUCGUUUGAGAGGCUUGGUGGCCGACGGACUGGUGUUUGGUUGGUGGUCAUGAGCAGUUGACGGAGUUGGAGGGAACGGGUGGUGUUGGGUGGUUUUGACGAUGGUGGGGAACUGGUGGUUGACGGCGCCUGGUGGUGGCGUUCUUGCCGUGAAGGAGUAGGGUUUCUUAGGUUUUUUUUCUUUUUUCAAUGGAGGAAGAAGAAGAAAGAACAGUAUUCUCCUUUCAAAUUUUCAAAGUCCUCUUCGUUGGUCCGUGUUUUUGUAAUACAAUGCCCAUGAAAAUGAGCCCCACGCGUGAUGGGGUUCGAGGCAUAUGUCCCCCGCGCGUGGUGGGGUUCCCCACGUGUCCUGGACACGGUUUAUUAUGGGCUAGGUCCGAAAAUUAGGCCUAAAAUCGGGUAGUUUGAACCCGAAUAUUAUUCUUUUGCCCGAACCCGAAAAAUAGGAACACGUUGCUUAACUAGUCCUAUGUAAGCAAAAUAACUACCAAAAAUAAUACUAGUAUUUAAACAAAACUAUAUCUUUUUAAAUAUUUUUCAAGAUUUAAAAUAGCUACAAAAUAUUAAUAAAACUAUUUGUAAUUUUCGUUUUUAAGAUAAAAUAUGAAGUAAUUUUUUUUUGUAUUUUUCAAAGUUAAAAUGACUAUAGAAUAUUAAUAAAACUUAUAUUUUUUGUAAUUUUCGUUCUUUAAUAAAGACAAAAAUAUGAAGUAAUAUUUUUUGUAUUUUUCAAAAUUAUAAUGACUGCAAACAUUAAUAGAACUAUAUUUUUUUGUAAUUUUCGAAUUUAUAUAAAGUACCAAAAUAAAGUACAAUUUUUUUGUAUUUUUCAAGUUUAUGAGAAAUACAUAAACUAAAAUUAUAUAUAUAUUUUUUGUGAUUUUUCUUUUUGCAACGAAAUAAAGUAAAAUAGUUAAAAUAUUCACGCUAAAAAUGUGAAAAUUCUCGGGGAGAGUCAAAAAUCACGUGCUUACAGUAAUAAUUAAUCUCUUUAUACGUUCGGCAUUUAAUACUGUAAUAGUAUCCUAGUCAAAGAGCUAAUAAUAUUCUGGAACAUGCCAUAACCAAGGGAUGGCCCCUCGUAAAAAUUGCACGGAGCGCCCUAUUUGGUCGUCCUCAUUUAACAUAUACUCAUUUUUUAAAAAACUUUUAACUUGUACCCAAUUCUUAAAUAACUUCAGCCCACUUUGUCUUCCUUCUUCUCCUCCUUCAUUUUCUUCUUCUUCUGAAAUAAAUAGCUGAAACAUGCAAACAAGCAAAUUGAAAGAAAGGAACUCCAUCUCAUUACAGCUAGAUGUCAACAAGGAGUUAUCUCUGAUCAGAUACCAUAUUACUCUAUAAAACUUUAGUAAAGUUAUCUAAACAAAAUCAAAGUACAGAAUAUUGUGGAAAAAGAUUGGGUAGCCAGCACGAUCAUUAUACAAUUUCUGUGUAAAAUAUAGCGCUUAUUUUCUAGUUAAUAUUGUUUAGUCGUUGACGUGAAAACAACGAAACAGAGAAAUAAUGCACUUGAUUUACAAAUAGUUAAUUGCAUUGUCAGUACAUCAAUUGAAAGAAAUGGUUGAAUGCUAAUAGCUGGUGAAGGCUUCAUCAAUUGGAUCAAUGGAGAGGAGCAAAUCCAACGGCUUCAUAUAAGAGUUAAUUUUAUCCAAGCUUCAGCUCUAGGGCUGAAGUUUCCCAGUCACAACACAGACUUCAGCUCUAGAGCUGAAGUUUCCCACUCACAACACAGAAACUUUAGCUCUAGAGCUGAAGUUUGCCAGUUACAAAACAAAAACUUUAGCUCUAGAACUGAACUUCAGGCCCGGCUACUAGAAUGCUGAAGUUUUGCGUGAUUGCCUUUGCUACUUCAGCCCCGUGUGCUGAAGUUAUGCGAAAAAGCGGGUACGCUUGCAUUUUUUUUGCAAAGCGGACACAAAUUAAAAUGUGACACAAAAAGCGAGUAUAAAUGCAAAUGCCCCUGGUCCCUCUACGCAUAUCAUUUGUUUUAUUCCUCUAUUUGGGCCUAGUUUCAAGAAACAUGUUAUAUAAAUUGUCAAAGAAGAUAAUAGUGUAAAUGAUAAUGCUUGGUACAAUCAGACCUCUUUAUAAUAACAUCUCUAUAUAACAGUCAUUCACUAUAAAACCAAUUUUUUUUUUCUAAUGUGAUGUUAUAAUAUAUGCCCUCUAUAACAGCACUUCACUAUAGCAGUCAAAAAGUAUCGGAACAAACGAGGCUGUUAUAGAGAAGUUUGACUGCAUAUUAUUGUAAUAUGAACUGCAUUUCUCACAAACAUAUUAUACAAUGCUUCUCAUAUUAUGUGUAGAUGUAUUUCUAGGUAAUAUGAACUGCAUUUCUCUUGAUCAAAUUAUACAAUUCUUCUCAACUUUCCUGACUAAUUUACAAAUGUGGUCGAGUAAUUCCAAUUAUGAGAUAAAGAAGAUACAUUUGAAGAAGUACACUUCAUAAAAUCAAAGGUUUUGUGAUGUUCUGGUAGUUUUUCUCGUCGGCCGCCACACCCCACUAGCAGUUCUGAUAGUCUUUGGAGGGUCCUUGAGAGAUGUUGUAAGCUGAACUUCCAGUUUUGAAGGGUCCAAAGACAGCAUUUCUCGGAUAAAAUCAUCUAAAUCAAAGCCGCUUCCUGUAUCUAUGCUAUUGUCCUUGAUGUUAGCCGAGGAGGAACUGCCUGAUUCUUCUGUGCUGAUGUUAGCCGAGGAUGAGGAGGAACCGGCUGAUUCUUCUGUGCUGAUGUUAGCCGAGGAGGAGCCGGUUGAUUCUUCCUGGCUGAUGUUAGUCGAGGAGGAGCCGGUUGAUUCUUCUGAGCUCCCAUCAGUGUCGUCUGCAGCAAUAGUAUUAGAAGACUCCUUUACCUUGUAAUAAGAGUUCUGAUCCAAAUUCAAGAGCCUCUUUAUGCUAUCAAUCGCCGGAUCAAUGACAUCUAAGAAACCCAUAAUCCAUGACUCAUCGUCGACAACUUCAGUACGCUGUUACACAGGGAAAAAAAGAUCAUAUCUCAGUCUUCACUGAACUUAUCUAGCUUCAUUGGUUCUUGUUAUGACUCUAUUUCUGAAGCUUAAACACCAUUUACUACUUCUAAGAUAGGUGAUCAACGCCACAACCAUUGUCAAAGCGUAAACAUAGAUAUCUAUUGGUUGGAUUAAGCAGAAAUAAUGAAUAUUGAGAACACUGCUAAAAAUAUGCUCGUUGAAGGAAAUCGCUUGUAUUAAUGGGGAAUACUCAUUUACCUGCUGAAAGUAGAGGUUACGAAUUUCCUCUGCACGCACGGAGUUGCCUUGAUCUUCCUCCAAAUUUGCCCAUGUCAUCCAUGUUAUAUAGCUCUGAGAGUUUAUGUUCAGAGAAGAUCUAAACAAUCUUCGAGCAGCUGAUAGAUUUCCGGCUCUUUGCUCCAAAACACCCCAAGCCUACAAAGCAUAUCAAAUUAAUAAACAACUCUCAGUACAUUUCCUACGGGAAACAUAAUCUCCACAGUUUAAGAUAUACGCCAGAACUAUGAGUUUUAGGAAAAGCAAACUAGAAACUUACUCUAUCAAUUUGAGAUUAACAUUACCUGAAGACAGCGCGCAGCACUUUCGGUUGUUGAAUUGAUCGACAGAGCUCUCUGGUAUAGUUCCCUAGCAGUGGAAAUGUUACCUUCUUUCCACUCCAUCCAACCCCAAGCCUAAAUCAGUACCAAGUUUAGUAAGCAUUUGAUGAAAACAUUCAUGUUCAGGACAAUGGAUAAUUGUGGAGGAAGUAAACUUCUCCUGAACGUAGAAAAGGGGGAAAAUAAAAUAUGAAUUUGGACUCAUUGGAAAGGGGGAAAAGCAAAGAAAAAAAAGGUAGAUGUUCCACCUUACUUUGCUUUGAGUACUCACUCCAGGAAACUCCCUUUAUUUUCCGAUACUACUGUCUGUUAAAAAUGCAUAGGAUAGGUAUUGAAUUGUUCAUUAUUCCUUUUUCUUGGUUGUCAAAGUUACAAGUUUACUAUCUUAGACUGUUGCCUGAAAACAAAUGGAAAAGCUCUGCCGGCUUCAUCAAUUGUUGUCAUCUCUUAUAGUCUUUCAUCUUCUAUUUACCAUGUUAAGCGUUUGUUUUCUUUUAGUAAGGCUUUCAUUUGCCGAAGGUUGUAAAGGAGGUCAGUCGAUUAUUCGGUUGAAAAUUGAGAACAUACAAAAAGAAACAAAACCAGGAUACUUCUAACUUCUGUAGAAAAAGUUUAAUAUUUAAAAGAAAAGUCUUACAAUCCAAACUGGUUGAUGCCUUGGAUCCAUUUCAGAUGCCCUCCGGAAUAAAACUCGUGCGAGGUUGGCACUGGAGUGCUUGUAUUCUAUCAAAGCAAGUGACUGGAGAAGAACAGGAUCUCUAGGAUUUACCAUAUGCCCAAUUGUCAGAAGUUUCCUUCCUUGGUCAAUGUUUUCAAGAUUAGCUUCAAAAACUCCCCACACGUGCCACGCAAACCGAUUUUUUGGACUGGCCUGAACUGCUUUCUGCUUUGUCAGGAGUAUAAAAAAUACAAGAAAAAUAAAUAAAGUUGAAACUAAAGUAACAAUGGCAUCAAAUAAAUAGGAAAUGCUCAAUGAUGAUAGCAAAGGAUUAACUUCAGAAAAUACAAACCUCGAAUAGCUGCCUAGCAGCACGAUUAUUCUCUAACUGAGCCUCUAGUUGAGCCCAUGCCUGCACAAGAGAGUACAGAACCACUAUAAGGAAUCCACCAAAGACAUGUGUACAGACCAUUGAAAAAGAGCAAAGGCGGAUUAAAGUUUUUGGAUAACUCUUACCAGCCAACUAGCACAACUUUUUCGGUUACACUUUGUCGCCUGUUUGAACAAGUAGCGGGCUCUUUCAUAUCGUUUUGCUUUAGCUUCAAGGAGUGCAAGAGUUUGGUAUAUGUACUCGUUACCUCCACAAAACUUGAGGCCUUUGCCAAGAAGAUUUCUUGCCUUUUUUAUAUUCCCUUGCUUCAGCUCUAAAACUGCCCAACCAUGCCAGGCUGCAAUAUGCUUCUUGUCAGCAACUGUGGCAGCAUCAAAUAGUUCUCUAGCUCUCCGUAUAUUACCCAUCCUAUUUUCCAGAAUAGCCCAGCACUAGUCCAAAGGAGUAAGUUUGGUGAACUUCUGAUACAAAAGAUAAGUUGCAAGAAGACAUGUAGUAGGUCAUAUUGUUUUCAAUGAAGGCACAUCAUUUGCAAACGGAUAAUCUGACCUUGAAUCCUCUUAAUAAUUAAUUCUUUUUUUUCCACCCUAACAGACUCAAGGACCAAUUCACUGAUCCAUGUUAAGACUUAAGAGACAGUCAAGGAUUACUGAUGAAAAUUCUCUUCUUCGAUAUUUGAAAUUUUGAACUUUAUUAAGAGAAGCAUUAUGAAACGACCUUAGACAUGAUCAGUGGCGGAUCCAGAAUUUUAACUAAGGGGCAUCAAAAUAUAAAUAAGCAUGCAAAGAAAUCAAGGGGAGUCAACAUAUAGUAUAUAUAUAUAAAAAAUAAAAAAUUUAACCUAUCUAUGCAGUGUAAUUUUUGACGAAGGGGUGUCAAUUGACUCCCCUUGCUAAUGAGUGGCUCCGCUAGGGGGCAUGAUUUUGCCUUUUGCAAGGUGAAUAAUUGCAAGACAUUGUAAUGUUUGUAUAUGAAUCAGCUGUUCCACAUGCCCAAAUUUAUUUAAUGUACAAAGUUAAAGGUCACUAAGAAACUGAACAAAAUAUACUAUAAAUGAUCUUUACUCCAUCAAGGAUGAUGACAUAUGUUUAGGUUGCAAAUCAUUAGUACUAAAUCUGCUAUCAAACACAAGUGGAAACUAUGUGCUUAAACAACAUAUUCGACGGACUUGAAAAUCAAAUUAUGCAUUACAGUAUGCUAGUAGAGAAACUUUUAACUUACAACAGAUUCCUAUUCAAGCUCAAGAUUAACGUAUAAUAUGGAAGUAUAGGAGAAGACUAAAUACAAUGAUAACACUGUUAUAACACUAACCUGCCAAAUGUAAGGAUUUUCUCCUUGUGUUGCCUGGCAUCCUUUUUCGUAAACAGUUCUGGCUUCGUUUAAUUUUGAUUGCUUACUCAAAAUCUUUCCCAAAGCAACAUAUGGUCUCCCAUCUUCUGGCCAGACAUCAAUACACUCCAUGCAUAAAAGAUCCAGAAAUCAGUAACAUUAUUAACAAAUAAUGAAGUGUCCUCACGAUAUCAAGAGAAAAGAACAAGGAAUGGUUUUUUUUUUUUUGGAUCAACGAAUGCUACCUGUUGCAAAAUUUUCUCUGCAUCUGCAUACUGAUACUUUCGAGCCAAAAUCUUUGCCCGAUACAGUGCUAAGUCUAAAUUGACUUUAAGUGGCUUCUCUCCAGAACCAGAUUCCAGCCUAUUUGGCUCAAAAAUUGGCAUCUUCUUUGCAAAUUUCCUAAGUCCAUCAUCAAGUGGAAAUGACGAGGAAGAUGGUUGCUCUUCCAAGAGAUAACUUCUGUCUUGGGAAUUCUCAAAGUUACGCAUCUCUUCCCCUUUUUCAUCACCAACUUCCCCGUUAGGGUCCUUCACUGGCCUACGAACCACAAGUAACUCUUCCAAGGACUUCUUUGUAGUUCUGAUCUCAUCAGCAACUUCAUCAGCGUAACGUCUAUCUUGGCGAUCAAACUUAGAAGAAGAUCUUGAUGUUUCUGGAUUUUCUUCAAGAAGUGGUGAUGAAGAAGAUGACUCAUGGGAACAAAAGGGAUGUAAAAGAGGAGGUGAAGGUGAUGGUUGGGAUGUUCUGAAGGGGACGGAAAAAUGAAAUUUUGACGGAUUGUGGUUCUGAGUAUGAUAGAAGAGAGUGAAAUUAGAACUCGAAGAAGAAGUAAAAGAAAAUUGACUCAUUGCUUUUCCUUUACCUACACUUGUACUAGUACAACUGUUGUAUACUUGAUGGAAGACAAUGGUGACUGGUGAGGCUGAAAAGAAAGGGCAAGUUUGUGUCUAAAGAGUCAAUUUUAUCCUAUAAUUAGUAAGAAUAAAUAUUACAUUGGUUUAUAUGUUCACCAGAGAUGAAAGAAUAAGCUGAUCAACUUCACGGCUUGUGAGAAAAUUGAUGUGAAAUAGCUCAAACUUAUUGAUAGUUCGACAGAUUCUAAGAAGCAAGGUUUAUUUGAAGAUGUUCAAAAUGCCCUUUCUCAUAAUAGAUUAUCCCAGUCAGGCAUGCAUUUAUCUGUAUCAAUCCAAGAGCAUCCUGUUAAUUUGAAAUGAAUACAAGACAAGAGAAGAUGGGGAGAAAUAUUUUUCUUCAUCCCUAUGACAUACUGCCUUUUCAAAACAGCGAAGAAUGUUUAACUUACUCCUAUACAUAGAAAAUCAAUUCACUAAACGAUUUGAGAAACCAAACACAUUACAUAAGACACAUUUAAUCUAUGAUGGGAUUUUUUUUUUCACCCAUUAAACUUUGUACACAAACUAAAUUCACCUUAAAAGUUUACCUUAACAGCACUAUGUAACACAGUACCUAACUCAAAUUAGCUUCUUAGUCUAGUGCCAACUCAGCCUACUAUGCUAAAAGAAUGCAAAGCGACUAAAAGGAAAAAAAGAUGAUCCACACCUUAAACCUUUGAGAAAGUCAGACAAAUCUAAGUACUUUGAUAUAUUCAAAUGAUGCAGAAGAUUUAUCAAGAGCUUAUCAUUAAAUCUCUCAAACUAGUUAAACUAACCUAGAUAACCUUCGAAUAUUGAAACUCGAUUAACAUACAGCUAAAACUAUAGUUUGGGGGGGGGGGGGGGGCUAAGUGUGUUGGUAAUAAAAAUAAUAAUCCCGCCUAGGAAUAAUAUCCACGGUAAAUAACAAUAACACAAGAGAGUAACAAGGACACCAAAUAUUUUAACGGGAUAAAAUAUAAUACCCCAGCGGAGCAAUAUUAGCACUAUAAUAUUACAACUUAGUAGUGUCACGAGACUACUACAACUUUGAAAGAAAUAACUCUUUAUUUUAAACACUCCACUACAAUAUUACUCUCACUCACUAUUUAUCUCACAGACUACAAUCUGUGGAUUACUCUCUCUAACUCUCUGUUGCUUCUCUCGAUUUGGUGUAUAGAAAUGGAAGGAUUGAGCUCCUAUUUAUAGGAGAACUUGCCAAACUUUCAGCCAAUCAAAAUGCUUGAUUCAUUGCAAGUUGCCAACGUCCAAGCUUGGUUUUGGUUUCAGCCUUUGUUGCAACUUGAUUCUUGUUUCAGCCGUUAUUGAUGGCAACUUGUUGUUAUCUUCUUCCUUUUUUUAAUUGAUUUUUGUUUUUUUAGAUUGGCCCCACAAAUCUCUCCCUUAAUUUUGAUUUUUCUUCUUCAUUCCAAGUCUUGAUCUCAAACUUUGAAAAUCUUCAAAUUUGAGAGGUUUGGUAAAAAUAUCCGCAACUUGAUCAUGAGAUUUCACAUACUUGAGUUCGACUUCCUUUUUGGCAAUGCAUUCUCUGAUGAAGUGAUACCUUGUAUCAAUAUGCUUGCUUCGAUCAUGAUAUACUGGAUUCUUCGCGAGUGUCUGUGCAGAUUUGUUGUCAAUACAAAUCUCUGUAGCUUCAAUUUGUGGCAAAUUGAGCUCUUUCAAUAAUCUUCUUAGCCAAAUAGCAUGACAUGUAGAAGAUGUUGCUGCUAUAUAUUCAGCUUCACAAGUCGAGAGAGUAACAAUUAAUUGUUUCUUUGAACUCCAAGAAAUAACAGAAUUACCCAAGAAAAACACAAAACCAGUUGUGCUUUUUCUAUCAUCAAUAUCUCCCGCAUAAUCACUAUCACAAUAUCCUAUAAGGUUGAAAUCACUAGAAGAGGAAUAAAAUAACCCAAAGUCAAUCGUACCUUUUAGGUAACGAAGAAUUCUUCUAGCGACCUUCAAGUGAAUGGAGCUAGGAGCUUCCAUGAAGCGGCUUACUACUCCAACUGCAAAGAGUAUAUCUGGCUUGGUACAAGUCAAGUACCUCAAACUUCCCACAAGACUUUUGAAAAUAAAAUUUCAUCCUCCAUCUGCUUCACUUCUAGGCCCAGGUAGUAUGGCAUGAGCCCUACGUGUGUCAUCUCAAACUCAAUGGACAUAUCUUUCUUAAAAGCUUCAAACAAACUUGGGUUAUUGCCCGUGAAAAUAAGACCAUCAACAUAAAGACAAACAAGCAAGAUAUCUCCAUUAGUAUGAACUUUAAGGUAAAAAGCAUAUUCAUGGAGACAACGAGUAAACCCAUUGUCUUGAAAAUAUUUGUCGAUGCAACUAUUCCAUGCUCGUGGGGCUUGCUUUAAUCCAUAUAAAGCUUUCUUCAACCGCAACACUUUAUCUUCAUGGUUUUUGACCACGAAGCCCAAUGGUUGUUCAACAUAGACUUCUUCUUCAAGAUAGCCACGAAGCCCAACGCUGACUUGACGUCUAAUUGAUGGAACUUCCACUUCAUUUGCGCCGCCAAAGAGAUUAGCCGGCAACAGGUGCAUAGACUUCUUCAUAGUCAAUGCCUUGCCUUUGCUUGUAGCCUUUAGCCACAAGUCGUGCCUUGUAUCUCUCCACAUCUCCAUCAGCAUUCUUCUUUGUCUUGUAUACCCAUUUCACUCCAAUUGCUCGAUGACCCUUGGAAAGAGUUGUUAACUCCCAAGUGUUGUUCUUCCUCUUCCAUGGCUUGUCUCCACUUUUUGUUUGUAACAGCUUCAUCAAAGUUCAUUGGUUCACUGUCAGUAAAGAGACAACAUAAAAAAUCAAAAUUAGUAACUUCUUUUGUGUCCUCAUAGAGCUCUUGAAUACUCCUUGUCCUUUGCGACUGUUCAUUUGAACUUUCUUGAGAAGAGGGAGAUGCAACAUUGGUUGGAGAAGGAGGUGGAGUUGUAUCCUGCACAGGUUCCACGGUCUCUGGUUCUUCUUCAUUACCAAAGUAUGGAAGAAAAUCAUAUGAAGUUUCUUCCUGAGCUUCCGAGUUCCAUGCCAAUUCUUCAUCAAAUUCAACAUCGCGACUUACCACCACCUUGCUGCUGGUUGGGCAGUAUAACUUGUAGCCUUUUGAACUCGUAUCAUAACCAACAAACACAUGCUUGACACUUCGAUCGUCAAGCUUCGCUCUCCCUUGAUGUGGCACAUGAGCAUAGGCUAUGCUUCCAAAGGUUUUCAAGUGCUUGACACUUGGCUUUCUUCCACUCCAUGCUUCUUGAGGGGUUUGAUCUUUAACAUUCCUUGUUGGAGACCUGUUGUUCAAAUAAACUGCACAAGAAACAGCUUCGGCCCAAAAUUCCUUGGGCAUACUUUUAGCUUUCAACAUACAUCUAGCCAUAUUAAGAAUCGUUCGAUUCUCUCUCAGCAACUCUAUUUUAUUGGGGUGAAUAAGGUACCGUUAGAGGGCGACGAAUUCCAUGAGACUGACAGAAGUCAUUAAAAUCUUUUGAAGUGAAUUCGCUUCCUCUAUCGGACCUUAAAGCAUUAAUUUCAUAGCCACUUUCUUUCUCUACAAGUACUUUGAAAUUUUUAAAAGCAGCAAAAGCUUUAGAUUUUUGGCUCAAGAAAUAAACCCAGGUCUUUCUACUAAAGUCAUCAAUGAAAAGUAGAAAGUAUUUACUUUUACCAAAAGAAGGUGGAUUGAUUGGUCCACACACAUCAGUGUGAACAAGCUGGAGCGGCUUGGUUGAUCUUGACAUGGCCUCCUUUGGAAAACUCCUCCUUGCAUGUUUUCCAAGAAGACAAGCUUCACACAAUUGAUUGGGAUGGUUGAUUGAUGGUAUCUCAUGCACCAUGUUCUUUUCUCCCAUUGAUUUGAGUGCUUCAAAAUUCAAGUGCCCAAAUCGCAUGUACCAACACCAUGAUUCAUCUUGCACAUUAGCCUUCAAACACUUUGCAUCAAUUGUUUUAAGAUUCAUAGAAAAUAAUCUAUUCUUUGUCAUAUGCACUUUAGCAAUUAGAAUUCCACUUGAAUCUCUAAGCCAAAGAUGCAUAUUUUUCAUGUGGAUGUCAUAUUCCUUUUCAAGAAGUUGACCCAAACUCAAAAUAUUACUUUUUAAUUUUGGCACAUAAUAAACAUCUUGAAUUAGCUUGUGACUACCAUCUUUACACGAGAUCAGAAUCGUACCUAUCCAUUCGAUUUGAAUCUUUGAGGUAUCUCCAAAGGACACAUUACCUCUUACCGUUUUAUUGAUCUCCACAAACUUUUCCUUGCAUCCACACAUAUGAUUGCUUGCUCCAUUGUCCAAAUACCAUGAGUUGCAAUCAUCCAUGUCUUCUUACUUGAGUGUCAUUAACAAUGUUGAGUCAACUUCUUCUUUCUUGUCGUCAACAAGGUUAGCUUUUUCUUCAACAUUGUUACGACAUUCCCAAGAGUAAUGGCCAACUUUAUGACAAUUAUAACACUCAAUUUUUGAUUUGUCAUACCUUUGUCCAUUAUUUUCUUUGUAGUAGCCACGUCCUCUUCCUCCUCUUUGUCUACGACCACGACCUCUGAAUGUUUGGUGGAUUUUAGCUUCAUUAUUGAAGUUGUUACCGUUACUUCUUCCUUUUCCAUGACCGCCGCAGCCUCGUCCUCGUCUAUUUCCUCGGUAGCUCUUUUCACCUCCAUAAUCCUUGAAGGAUGCCUGCGUUUCAAGAAGUUACUCCAAUGGCGCUUCUUGUCUCCAUUUGAUCUUUUCUUCGUGGGCCUAGUCUAAAUCUUUAGACUCCUUAAUAGCACACACCACAAAAUCAAAUUUAGGUGUUAAAGUGCGAAUGAUCUUUUCUACCAUACGGACAUCUUCUAUGUCCUCCCCGUAUCUUCUCACUUGAUUUACAACAGCCUUCACUUUUGAACAAUAAUCUGAAAUGCAUUCGGAUUCUUUCAUUUUUAAAACUUCAAAAUCAGCCCUUAGAGUUUGAAGUUUUACCUCCCUCACCUUGUCAACUCCUUGAAGAGAAUUUUGUAAAAUCUCUCAAGCUUCCUUUGAGGUGGUAGCAUCUGCCACCUUCUCAAACAUGGCAUCAUUCAAACAUUGGUGGAUGAGCGUGAGGGCUUGUUGAUCCUUCUUCCUUGUCUUUGCCAAGACAUCUUUUUCAUUUUGAGGCAGAGCUUCCUCAUUAUCGGUUUUGCAUACCCUCUAUCUACGAUUUCUCAUACAUCUUGAGAGCCAAGAAUGGCUUUCAUACGUAGACAUCAUUUCUCAUAAUUAUCUUUUGUGAGACGAGGGUAUUGAAAAGACGGCGGACCAUUAUUCGCCAUGGCUCUGAUACCACGUUGUUGGUAAUAAAAAUAAUAAUCCCGCCUAGGAAUAAUAUCCACGGUAAAUAACAAUAACACAAGAGAGUAACAAGAAUACCAAAUAUUUUAACAGGAUAAAAUAUAAUACCCCAGCGGAGCAAUAUUAGCACUAUAAUAUUACAACUUAGUAGUGUCAAGAGACUACUACAACUUCGAAAGAAAUAACACUCUUUAUUUCAAACACCUCACUACAAUAUUACUCUCACUCACUAUUUAUCUCACAGACUACAAUCUGUGGAUUACUCUAUCUAACCCUCUGUUGCUUCUCUCGAUUUGGUGUACAUAAAUGGAAGGAUUGAGCUCCUAUUUAUAGGAGAACUUGCCAAACUUUCAGCCAAUCAAAAUGCUUGAUUCAUCGCAAGUUGCCAACAUCCAAGCUUGGUUUUGGUUUCAGCCUUUGUUGCAACUUGAUUCUUGUUUCAGCCGUUACUGCAACAAGUUGCCAUUGCAACUUGUUGUUAUCUUCUUCCUUUUUUUUAAUUGCUUUUUGUUUUUUUUUAGAUUGGCCCCACAAAGUGCAUCCUUGCAAACUACUACUCCCUCCGUUCCAACAUUUUUUUUAGUCCAUUCAUCAAAGAAUGGCAGUUUCUAAAUAUGAAAAUUACUUAACUUAAACUUCAUAUUUUACCGUUAAUAAAAGUUUUUAUAGUCACACAAAUGUUACGAAAUAUUUAGCACUACAUAUUUCAAAAGUCUUACAACCAUACAAAUAUAAUGUCAUGUUUAUGUAUAACUACAGAUAGGAAGCUGCGGAGGUCGAGUAUUAGGGUUGUAGGUUAGGAGAUAGUUGAGCCUAUUUCUACUUCAUACCAAUGUGAGGCUAGUGUGAUCGGAUUUUUGUCUUAGACUGCUAGUGGUUAAUGUUGUGUUCUCACUACUCUUCCAUUUUUCAUAGUGUCGGGUCUAUUUAGUGGUUAUUGCUUUUGUUUUUCAUCUAUUUUCUGGUUCUUAUGAUGUUGUUAUUAUUCCUGUGAUUUCUGUUGAUGACACUGAUAUAUUGUCUCCUUUCGUCUUCUUGAGUUUCAGAAACAACCUCUCUAUUCCCUCGGGGUAGGGGUAAGUCUACGUACACACUACCCUCCCCAUACACCAUUAGUGGAAUUUUACUGGGCCAUUGUUGUUGUUGUUUAUAUAUAAUUACAAGUUUCAAAAGGUCUUUUUUUUUUUCUUAAAUGAGGCGCUUAUUCAAAUUUUGCCACAUAAAUUGGUACGGAGGAAAUAGUAAAUUUUUAAGCUCUAAAAAAGAAGCGUACGUAGUCUGCAAGAACAUAUGAUCUACCAGUAUUUGGGAAACGGAAAUGAAGUAAAAUGUGAAACUUACUAUUGAAGGUAAAAAUGCACUGAUUGCCCACCAAAUAUGAGAAUUCUUGUUUCUUGAAUGCCACCUGCGUAAACUGAGAGAUGGGGUUGGUGUGUUUGGGUGAAUAUGCAAAGAUAGAAGACGAAGAAGAAGUUAUGUUAGUAAAAGGGUGAAUGGAAGUAUAGAAAGUGUUUGCAGUAAGUGCAGGCAAAGUGACAGGAGUGGAUGAGAUUGUUGAUGACUUGGAGAUUGCAUUUGGCUUUACUCUUUUAACUGAAUGGCUGUGGUUUGUGGACGUGUAUGCACCUUCUUCAGCCCCUUGUCAUUUCUGCUUCUUCUUUUUCUAUUUUUAUUAUUUUCCUUUUAUGUUAACAGUAAUAGUUAUUUGAACACUGUUACUUUUGGAUUUUUGCACCACUAUCAACGUAGUUUAAUUUGUGACUGUAGAUAAUUAUUUUUUUUAUCAAAUUCAUUAAUUAUCAUUUUUACCAAAUUAAUUUUUACCUAUAAUUAUGUUAUAAGUGCUUUAUUGUAUAAAUAUUUUUUUCAUAAUGUAUUAUUGUCGGUGCAUAAAAUUAGCAAGAAUUAAGCAACUUUCUGGAUAAACAACUUUUUUGUUGAAGGUACAUGUAUGUAGAUAUAUAAGUUGCACAUUCUGAAUUUGCUAUGGAAUCCAUAGCUCGUCUUUAUCAUUGGGUUCCCAAUUAUAAGUUUAUACAUAUUUAAUGAAUGUCUUAAUAAAAUAUAAUAUCUAAGCAAAAGUGGCUGGGUUUGGCUGAACCCACACUUAGUAAGCUCGCUCCGCCCCUGAGCUUAAGGGCAUAAAAGACGAAUUUAAGAUUUUAAAUCAGUAGUUGCAGAAUAUCCACUGCACCAACUCUCCUCUGUGAUAUCGGUAGCACUAUCCAGUAUAAAUAUAUCCUUUGCAUGGCCGGCUCCAACCUUGCAUGGAGUGAAAUUCAAAAUUAGUCAGAUUUACAACUGGUCGUUCAAAAAUAGCCCAGUUUCAAAAGUAAUCAAAAUUUAGCCACUUUUCAUGUAAAGAUAAAUCUAAGCGAAAAUACUAUUCAAAACCCGAAAAAUACGCCAGUAUAUUAUGCUUGAGUUCCAGCAUAAGUAUACUUGAACUCCAACAUAUUAUACUGGAGUUCCAAGAUAAGUAUGUUGGAACUCCAGCAUAAUAAGAUGGAGUUCCAGCAUAAGUACACUAGAACUCGAGCAUAAUUUUCUGGAGUUCCAACAAGUAUACCGGUCCAGUAUAAUAUACUGGAGUUUGGAGCACCGGUGCUUCAGUCUCCAGUAUAUUAUACUGGAGCUAGCAAAGUAUAUCGGUCCAGCAUAAUAUGUUGGAGUUCAUAUACAGGUGCACCAAACUUCAGUAUAUUAUGCUGGACUGGUCUUUAUUGCAGCAAAAUAGUUGUUAUUUUUUAUUGACUUGGUAAACGCUGACUAUUUUUGAAUGACCAGUCCAAAAACUGGUUAUACCCGUGCUAUUUUUAUGUAAGGCUUGUGCCUUAGGCUCUCAAAUUUGGGGGGGGGGGGGCAUUUUUAAAAAAAUAACAGGUUCGUAGGUUUUAAAAAAUAAUAUUCAGUAUUUUUAAUACAAAACUAGAGUUUUUAAUAUAAAAGAAAGAAAGCCUUUUAGAUAUAUAAAUAAAAUAAUAAUUUGACUUACUUAAAAAUGUGUAGAUAAAUAGUUUUCAUAACUUUUAGUUUUUCAUUUUUUAUUCCGACAUUAAAAAAAUUGCUCUCUUUUCCUUAAUUUGUCUAAGUCAAUCUUUCUUUUUUUCGAAUCUCUUCAUAUUUCAGAAAAUCCUACAUAUUUUUUGUAUUUCUCUUUGAUAUUCUUACUCAUUUCUUUCUCCGAGAUUUCAUUACUCACCUUCUUUCUCCAAGAUUUCACUAGUUCAAGUGUUCAGCAAUACUUUUAAGCUUUCAAUAGUUCUAUACUUUUAUUGCUUUGUAAAAUCUUAUCUAAGAUCAACAAGAUCUCAAGAUAGAUUAAAUAAGCUGGCUAUAUUAUUAAUCGAGCAAGAAUUAUUAGAGAAAAUCGAUUAUAAAAAAAAUUAUUAACAAUUUUAUAUAUCAAAAAGUUAGAAGAAUAGACUUCAAAUAAAAACAUAUUUUAUAACUUUCUUUUAAAAAUUUAGGCCUCAUAUUAAACCUUGACUUUAGGCCCCAUAUGUACUUGAGCCGCCCCUGAUCCUUUGGAAAGAUAUUUUCACUAUAUAUAUAUAGUCUUCUAUGCCUACACGAAGAGAUGAUCUAUUGUGUUUUUAUAGCAAUGUUACAUACCAUAAAUUACCAUUAGACCAAAACAUUUGAUCUCUGGGGAAAAAAAGAGUUAGCUCACAGUUGGACAAUGGAUUCUUAUGAAUUUCCUCUGCAACAAAAAGCAAUGGCGAGAUUUAAACCAGAAGGACCUGAGGAAAGACUGAAGUAAAAGUAGUAAAAUGAAUGUUAGACCAAAAGGCUUGCAUAUGCAUAUUUCAAAAGCUACAAGAAAACAAUUCACAAGUUCUCAAACAAACAAGUGAAUGAACAUUUUAUUCAUACAAAUGCUUAUUAGUACAACAUUUUCCUCGCGCAGAUCUCAGCGCUGAAGCUAAUUCAGUACAUUGUACAAAAUAUACCCUUCUCUACGAUAGAAUCAAAAUAUACCCUUCUCUACGAUAGAAUCAAAAUAUACUGAUCACGCGUUGUUUAAGUGGUGUUGACCUGUAAAUUUAUGCCUGUUUCUUUUUCUCCUUCACAUAAAAGUAGUUCCUCUGAAAGUAAAUAAUUGCCAAUACCAAAUGCCAGAAGCUUAUCUCAGGCCAUAGCGCCCGAGGUGAAUAUAGAAGACAAUGUGCGCUCUGCCACAAAAGAAAGUUGCUCAAGCGAGUUCCUCCAGAAGUACGGAUUAUAACAUCAGGAUCAGCAACACCAGCCAUGUACAUAUGCCUGUCAAUAUCCGCUACUCCAAUAAGUUGCUCAAGCGCGUAAUUUCCAGUAUUACUUGCAUCUUGUUCUCUGAUCUCGUCCUGUUUUUCUUCACAAGAUUCUUGAACAGCACGUGCUAUCUCGUCUGUUGAAGUGUAGGCAACACAAACAGAUAAUACAGCCUUUGAGUUUCCUGCUGUCUUUGCCAUUGCCAUCUCAACUGAUGAUCUAACCGGUUCACUCAAAAGCUUUAGGUUUCCUCGAAAAUAAAUCCUAAUACCAAGGCGGUUCACUAUACUCUCCUCUGCAAUCAAUUCGUCGAUCUUCUCUUGCAUCAACUCCAUAAGGGAUUGAACUUCUUCAGGGCGUCGUUUAAAGUUAUCAAUGCUGAAGGCAUAUACAGUAAUCUGUUUCAUCCCUAGCUCGUAACAGUAUCUUAGCACGUUUAUUAGAACGGAAAAUCCAGCACGAUAGCCAUCCUUUUCGAGCAAAUUCUUCUUCUUAGCAUAUCUUCGGUUUCCAUCCAUAAUGAAUGCAAUAUGACUUGGAACAGGACCUAUCGAAAGCACAGAAAAUAUACAUUUGCGAAUCAAGCUGCUAAAAUUGUCAAAUAAUCCUGCUUUUUUAUGGUUCUCUCUUACCAUAUCCAUGCUCGAAACUUGUUCGAGCUGGAUCCAGAAGCAAGAUCAACCUAAUGAAAGCAACAGAGAAUUCAGCUCAACUAAUAGAAGAUGAUAAAGUGAAAAUUAGAGCAACACUUAAACGACGAUCAAGUGUCAUGCGCAUGCAGAAGCUAGUAAAGCAACACUUAAACGACGAUAAAUCAGACAGCAGAAGAGAAAUAUAACAAAAGACACGCAAACAUUUAACGUGGUUCGGCCAAUUGACCCACGUCCAUGACGGAGAUGAACAAUCCACUAUAAAAAGAGAAUACAAAAUAUCGAGAGAACAACUUCACAAAGAGACAAACACAAGUUGCACACUAAAACUUGCCCCGAAAAGUUCUCCACCUAAGCAAGACUGUCAAAUCCCUAAUGAUCCUUAAUUUGUAAAAGUCAAAAUAUUUUCCUCCAAGAAAAAGAACUAGCCAAAUAUGGAAGAAUUAUAUUUUCCUUUUAGUAAAAGGAAAAAAAAAAUUAUGGUAAAUAUGUUGUCCUUCCUUCAACAAAUAAGAAAACCAAAUAUAGUAAGAAAAUCAGGACAAACACCUAACACAUAUAUGCACUUCUUGUAAAUAACAAAUCCAAACUCAACAUAAAGAAGUUAAUGCUACUAUAAUUAUUCCAAGAAAAGUAGUCCUUGAAAUACAAGAAUGAGUUAUCGUUACCUACCUUUAGUGUGCAUUAACAGUACGUUCUUUACUGCACCAAUGGCUCAGUACACCAAGAAUGUACACAUAAACUAUAUUUAUAGAUAAACUAUAUUUAUAGACACAGAAAAUUAAGAAUAGGCCAAUGAGAUGACAUCAUGGUUGUUUGUGGCCAUUUUCUCCGAAAUUUCUAUAUAGACUAUUGUCAUCAUUGGACUAUUUUAAAGUUUACGUUUUGGUAUGGGCAAAACAUAUUUUUCCAUGUUACUAAUCACUCCGUCCUGAUUUUAUUUACGUAGUUACUCCCUUCUAUGUCAACUUACAUGAUGCAAGAAAGAAAUACUUUUGAAUAUAGACUUAGAUAUGUUAUAAUAAUUUUGAGCGAAAAAUUUAUAAAUGGCCAGUUUUACGCCUGGUCAAUUAAAUUUAGCCACAAAAUCAAAGGUCAACGAGAUUUAGCCGCGAAGUUAGCACGGUAACAAUUUGUUGACUAAAAUACCCCUACUCUGUUUUUUUAAAUUUACGCGACUUGACCUCAUAUUCUUCUUUAGCACAAUCUUGCGGCAUCAAUCUGCAAAUCCAAGUAAGCUCUCUCAAUUAUUUGUCUGAUUGUUUGAAUUUAACUAAUUUGAAUUUCUUCUACAAUCACAAAUUGAAUUGUGAUAAUCUAUGAUUCUUCUCUUUGUAAUUCAAACCAGAAAAUUCAAAGUACCAGUAAAAAAUUUUGAUUCUUCGAAUUUUCUGGUUUAUUUUUAAUGCUUUAAUCUGUGUUAAUGUCUAAUUUUCUCAAUGCGUUAAUAUGUGUUUAUUUGUAUUAUAUACCUUCUUUUCUGUAAUUUAGAUCGUAACUAAUAAAAUCUACAUUGUUCAAAAUCACAAAAAAUAAUAUAAAAUCUCGCAAAACAUAACGCCAGUAUAAUUUGCUGGACCUUUCUAAAUUAAUAUCUAAAGUUGAGAUACUUCCAGCUUAUUAUACUGGAAAAAUCUCAUAAAAUGGUUUUAUAGUGCUUGAUUCCAAAUGAACAAAACCAAGUAUAAUAUGCCGGAACUUUUUGUAUUAAUCUGCAAAAUUCAAAAAGCUACAAUGUAUUACACUGGAAGUAUCUUUCAUCCAAACUACUAUAAAAAAUUGUAAAUAAAAUGGUAUAGAACAAAACACCAGUAUAGAAUAUUGGACGUUUGUUAAUUUAAUAUGUAAAACUUAGACAUUUCUAGUAUAUUCUACUGGAAGUAUGUGUGACUGCAGUAACCCCAUCAUAAUAAGCUGGAAUUUACUUUAUUAAUAUGAAUAUACCAAAUAAUUCCAACUUAUUAUACUGGAGUUAUAUUUUUAAACAGUAUUACUUCUAAAUAUCUUAUUAUUUGGGUUCAUUAAUGAAUGGAAGUUACUCUAAUAAACUAUCCCUCACUUUUAAUAUUAGUAACUAGUAUGAACCUAGCGAAGUGGAGGAUACAUGGACUAAAAGCUAACAUCAUUUCAAGGAAAAUAAUAAUUACUAGUAGGGAGUAAUAUUCAAGAAGCAAUAGAUUAACAUUAAAACGUGUAAAUGCAAAUGUAAAUACAAUGCGGAUAAGAGGUAUUCUACGUGUUAAGACUUCUUGGUAACUGAUGUGCCAAAAAACUAAACUAUAUUAUAAUAUUCAUCUAGUAUAACAUACUGGAAGACAAACAUUCACAUGACAGACUUCUAUUAUAAUAUACUGGAUAAAAUUUUACUAAAUUUAAUAAACAAAAAAUAUAAUCAAAACCCACACAUUAGACGUCUACUAUUCAUACACAGCAGACGUCCCGCAAAAAUACUGGAAUUAAACAACGAUUACAACAUAAAACUAAUAACAUAGUUACAAAAUUACCAGAAAUAAGACAAACUAAUGAACAGAGAAAAAACCGUAAAAGUUAAAAUACAACAAAUAUUUAAAACCUAACGGUUCAAAAUUAAACCUAAAGAACCAUUAAUAACAACGAAAAUUCAAACACAUUAUCGUAAAAAACAAAACUCACCCAUAAUUUUGAAGAAAAUUGGACCUAACCCAGACAAGAUUCGAAGAAAAGUGCUCUCUCAAGAAGCGAAAUCCGUACAACUGCCGUAAAACAAAGAGAAGGCCGAUAAAAAGUAACUAAACAGUAUGUUAAAAGGGUCAAGAACAAUUAUGUCAUUUACUAAUAUAUUUUAAGUUAAAAUGACUAGAAAUCAAUUACAGAUAGCUGGCUAUUUAAAAGUGACUACGCCAUACAAUUUUAUCCUAAAAUACAGUGAUUUCUGAAAAUUUAUCUUGCAAAAUACUUCUCGGGUGGCCCAAGAUAGGGACGAUAAAGAAAGGCCCAGUGUUUGGAACUCAAAGGUAAAUAUUCUAUUGUGGAGCGGACAGGACGGGGACACAACCUCAAUAUUCACGUCGCCGCCGUCGCUUCUCCGGUCUAGGUUUCCGAUCAUGAGCUCGUCCUCCGAUCAACUUCCGCCACUUACACUUCGCACUGUUUCUAUAUCAUACUCCGAACUCAGGGACAGAAACGCUGAUUUAUCGGCAAAAAUAGAACAAGGUUUUGGGCCAAAUGGUUUUGGAAUUCUCUCCAUAUCAGAGGUUCCAGGUUAUUCAUUAUGGCGUAAGAAUCUCCUCCAACUUGGGCCCAGGUUAGCCAACCUUCCCGAAGAUGUGAAAAUGGAACUUGAAGACCCUAAUAGUAGGUAUAAUUUUGGAUGGAGUCAUGGAAAAGAAAAACUCGAAUCAGGAAAAUUAGAUCUUUUAAAAGGAUCUUUCUAUGCAAAUCCAAUACUAGAUGUACCUACAACAGAGCAAUCCUUAAUUGAACGGUAUCCAUCAUAUUGCGGGUCAAAUAUUUGGCCUCGUAAGGUUUUGCCCGAAUUGGAAACAGCAUUUAAAACCCUUGGAAAGUUGAUACUUGAUGUAGGAUUGCUCUUAGCUUAUCAUUGUGAUCGCUAUGCAAUGCUAGAGGGUACUGAAGGCGGACUUGAACGUACACUAGUUCGCUCUAGAUGUCAUAAAGGUCGUUUUCUUUACUAUUUUCCAGCGCAGCAUGGGCAACGGACUGCUGAUGCCCAUGAUUCCAUGUCAUCAUGGUGCGGAUGGCAUACAGAUCAUGGUUCACUUACAGGUCUUACACGUGGCAUGUUUUCGAGAAAUGGUGUAGGAGUAGUUUGCCCUGAUAGUGCUGCUGGCCUUUACAUAAGAACGCGAACAGGUGAAAUAGUUAAAGUGGAGUAUGGGGAGGAUGAAAUAGCAUACCAAAUAGGUGAAACAACUGAGAUCCUCUCAAGUGGUCGGCUUUGUGCGACACCACAUUGUGUUCGGGCACCACAGGGUGAGGGUGAUGCUGCAGCUGGUGUUGAUCGUACAACGUUUGCAUUAUUUAUGCAACCUGAUUGGGACCAAAAGCUUAAUUUUCCAGAGGAGUUGCAUAUUCAUCAGGAAUUGAUUCAAUCCAAUCGAUCUCUUACUUUUGGAGAAUACACUGAGAAGCUCCUUGACAAGUACUACCACCUCAAGAUGUAAAAAUAGUUGUUAUGAGAGUAGAUUUGAAAAGCUCCUUCACUCUGAUCUAGUCUAGGAUAGAUACAUCGAGCAAUAUGCACUAUGCAGACACUUGCUUAUAAUUGCGAAGGUGAUCUUCUGAACUGGGGUUUCGACAUUCUGAUAAAGACAGGAGAAAAAAGGUCAAUGUAGUACAAGUUCUUGUCCUCCUUACAAUAGCUAGUUGAUUAGGUCUUGGUAAAUCAUUCUUUCAACACCUUCAUGUACUCGAAAGAACCAUAUUUUGAUGUAUAUGUGGAACAGUAGCAAUUGGUUUACCAAAACUAAAACUCUGUUCUUGAGCUUCUAUCAAUUCUAGAAAACCUUUUUUAUUCCAAAUGUUUUCAUAAAGCAUUUGAAAGCAGACACCCUCAUAAAAUGAAUUGCAACUGCCUUUCUCGGACAACAACUCUGCUAAAGUUACCAUUUACAUGCAGAGGGGAAGGCAAUUCUUCAGAAGUUCACUGGCAAAAAUAGGUCUUUCCGCUCUUGGUACACGAUCGACUAAGCAAAUUCCAUGUGUAGAAAAUUGAAUACAAAGCAAGCAGUGUUGUAAUCUAUACAAUGCAUUUUUACAAAGGCCUUACAGAAUGCAGAUUAGAUUUCUUAUAAAUUCAAAUAAUGAAAUCAACUGGUAAACAUGCUGCUGGUAAAGGUGGUAACAAUCUUUUGCAAUCUAACCAAAACAGACUAGUUCAAGGGAAAGAAGUCUAAUACUAAUAAGAAAUCAUGAUACACUGGUAUAUGAACUUAAAGAGAGCAAAUCAACCGUGCACCUUUGGUAGAGGUGGAAUCCAGGAUUUGAACUUUAUUGGUUUGGGUUUCACAUUCUACCACAUCCCAUCUAUUCUACUAGACAAAUACAAAUCUAUUAUUUGUAACUAAUCCAGUUAUUUUUUUUUUAAAAAUACAUCUAUAGGGCCUAAACCAAAGUUACUAGGAUGAGAUAAACCCAUAGCUUAUUCACUAGAUCGCCCCUGAUCUUUGAAAGUCACUGGCAUUACAUUAGACUUUACUUCCCUAGGCAAGAUUACUGGGAAGAGACAGAUGAGAUUCGAAGCUUUUCACUCACAAAUUAGUUGGGAUUGACUAUAUGGAUCUUUUGUAUACUCUCUCUACAGAGGUACAGGAAGAUAGCAUUUUCCGUAAGUCACUUUGAACAUCAUGCAACGGCAGCAAGUAUAGGCUCUUCUAAUUCUUCAGAUAAGGAAGAAUCUGACAUGGCCUGCUCCUCAUCAGCAGUCAAAUGACCAACAUUCGGGACAUAGCCAGAGAGCUUCAUCAGUUUAGUUAGUGUAUUCAAUAUCAGAUAUAUCUCUUUUUUCUGCAUAUGUCUCCUAUCUUUUACCAUGAAAAUAUGAACCUGGCUUUCUAUUGCAAUCCAACUGCAACCAGGCUGUUUAACAACGCCACGCUCUCUCAUAAGUUUUCGGACCAUUUUGACAUCUUGCCAUUUCCCCUGUUCAGCAUACAUGUUUGAUAGAAGAACAUAGGGGCCAGAAUUUGUAGGAUCAAUCUCCAGAAGCUUCUCAGCCACAUACUUUCCCAACUCAAUUUCCCUGUGAAUUUUACAUGCAGCGAGCAAAGACCCCCAUACCACACUAUCAGGAGACAUUGGCAUGGAUUCAAUCAAAUCCUUUGCCUCUGCUAAGCAACCAGCCCUGCCAAGUAAAUCGACCAUGCAUGUGUAGUGGUCCUUCAACGGUGACAACCCAUGCUCUGUGCUCAUGGAAUAGAAAUGUUGACGCCCCUCCUCAACCAAUCCUGCAUGACUACAUGCACAAAGAACCCCAAUCAUAGUCACAUGGUCUGGCUUCUCUCCGUAUACCAGCAUAACCUUGAAAGUUUCAAGAGCUUCAAUAGCAUGCCCAUUUUGUGCAUAUCCAACUAUUACAGCAUUCCACGAAACCCAGUCUCUGUCCAGCAUUUUUGUGAAUACACAGCUACCAUCUUCAACUGAUCCACAUUUCAUAUACAUGUCUAUGAGAGCAUUUCCCACAAAAACAUCAGACUCAGGUCCAUUCUGAAAACGAAAUCCGUGCUUCAAAAUAUGUGCAUGAGCCUGCCUACCAAGCUUCAGGUCAGCUAAAUUUGCACAUGCAUUGAGGAGAUUCCCAAAUGUAUAAUGAGUUGGCCAAACAGACUCUCCUUUUAGCAUAAGAAACAGAUUUAAUGCCUCCUCAUUGUCCCCGUUCUGUGUGUAUCCAGCAAUAAGAGCAUUCCAAGACACAACAUUCCUUUCAAUCAUCCCCGAAAACAUGGCUCUUGCAGUCUUCACACUUGCAACUCUCGCAUAACCACUUACUAAACAGGUGUGUGACACCACGCUUCUGACUGGCAUCUUAUCGAAAAUCCACCUAGCUUCAUCAAUUCGCCCAAACUUUGAAUACAUAUCAACCAAUGCAUUGCAUAUAAUAAGAUCAUCCCUAAGCUUAUUCGACUUCACAAUCCGGGCAUGAAUUUCCUUACCUUCUCUUAUUGCACCCAAACUCGCACAAGCACUUACUACACUUGCCAAAGUCUUCUCAUCCGGUUUAUACCCAAAGUCCAUCAUCCUAGCAAAUAUCUCAAGUGCAUUGCUUGCUGGCCCAUUUUGCUCAUAACAAGAAAUUAAACUAUUCCACGACACCACAUUACACUCACUCAUCUCAUUAAACACCUUUGUUGCACAAUCCACAUUGCCCGUUUUCGCAUACAUAUCAAUAAGCGUAGAACCCGUGUAAACAUUGUUUGAAUACUUGGAUUUAGCAACCGAGGCAUGAAUCUGAGUUCCCAUUUUCAAGUCCCUUAAACCUGCACAAGUACUUAAACCACUACCAUAAGCAUACUCAUUCAAAACAAAAUCUUCUUUGUGCAUUCUCGCAAAAUACACUAUCGACGAAUCAAACAAUUCACAUUGAGCAAAGCUUGACACCA